ensembl:lncRNA
GGGGUGUACAAGCACUAGCUGGGGUUUAACAGUAUAUAACAUGUGAGCUUUAGUGUGUUUACCCAGUCAGUACUGUGUCUAGGCGGUCAGGACUGUGUCCAGACGGUCAGUACUGUGUCUAGGCUGUCAGUACUGUGUCUAGGCGGUCAGUACUGUGUCUAGGCGGUCAGUACUGUGUCUAGGCAGUCAGGACCGUGUCCACACGGUCAGUACUGUGUCCAGACGGUCAGUACUGUGUCUAGGCUGUCAGUACUGUGUCCAGACGGUCAGUACUGUGUCUAGGCUGUCAGUACUGUGUCCAGACGGUCAGUACUGUGUCUAGGCUGUCAGUUCUGUGUCCAGACGGUCAGUACUGUGUCUAGGCGGUCUGUAGUGUGUCUAGGCGGUCAGUACUGUGUCUAGACGGUCAGUACUGUGUCUAGGCUGUCAGUACUGUGUCCAGAUGGUCAGUACUGUGUCUAGGCAGUCAUGGGACAGUGGUUGGGUUUGGGUGAGUAGAGACGAAAGAGGUAGAAAGGAGAGGAGUAGAGAGGAGAGGAGUAGGAGUCUCCAACAUGCAGAGUGACCCACUGGUAGAGCAUGCUGG